rnacentral:rRNA from 1 species
UACGUAGGGUGCGAGCGUUUGUCCGGAAUUAUUGGGCGUAAAGAGCUCGUAGGCGGUGUGUCACGUCGGCCGUGAAAACCUGCAGCUUAACUGUGGGCGUGCGGUCGAUACGGGCAUCACUGGAGUUCGGCAGGGGAGACUGGAAUUCCUGGUGUAGCGGUGAAAUGCGCAGAUAUCAGGAGGAACACCGGUGGCGAAGGCGGGUCUCUGGGCCGAUACUGACGCUGGAGGAGCGAAAGCGGUGGGGAGCAAACAGG